GACGAACGCUGGCGGCGUGCCUAACACAUGCAAGUCGAACGAAGUAUAGUAAUAUACUUAGUGGCGGACGGGUGAGUAACGCGUGAACAAUCUGCCCUGUACAAAGGAAUAGCCUCGGGAAACCGGGAUUAAAACCAUAUGACACUUUAGUACCGCAUGGUAUAGAAGUCAAAUUGAUUUAGAGGUAUGGGAUGAGUUCGCGUCUGAUUAGCUAGUUGGUAAGGUAACGGCUUACCAAGGCGACGAUCAGUAGCCGGCCUGAGAGGGUGAACGGCCACACUGGAACUGAGACACGGUCCAGACUCCUACGGGAGGCAGCAGUGGGGAAUAUUGCACAAUGGAGGAAACUCUGAUGCAGCGACGCCGCGUGAGUGAAGAAGGUCUUCGGAUCGUAAAACUCUGUCCUUGGUGAAGAAAAGACGGUAGCCAAGGAGGAAGCCCGGCUAACUACGUG
rnacentral:rRNA from 1 species